UGCGCGCCGCAGGGGAUGCCGGGAGCGCGCAGUGGCGGCAGCGGCGGCGACGGCAAUCACAGCGGCAGCUACAGCGGGGACGCGAGCAGGGCGGUGACCGUGUGGGAGGUGUUCUCACUCUUGGGGAAGCUGUUGGGCACCGUCGCCGCGCUGAAGGUAGUCCUGUACCUGCUCCGGGUGUGCUUAGCGAUGGCCUGGAAAUCCGGCGGCGCCAGCCACUCGGAGCUAAUCCACAACCUCCGCAAAAAUGGAAUCAUCAAGACAGAUAAAGUCUUUGAAGUCAUGCUGGCCACAGACCGCUCCCACUAUGCAAAAUGUAACCCUUAUAUGGAUUCUCCACAAUCAAUAGGUUUCCAGGCCACAAUCAGUGCUCCACACAUGCAUGCAUAUGCACUAGAACUUCUAUUUGAUCAGUUGCAUGAAGGAGCUAAAGCUCUUGAUGUAGGAUCUGGAAGUGGAAUCCUUACUGCGUGUUUUGCACGUAUGGUUGGACCUACUGGAAAAGUCGUAGGAAUUGACCACAUUAAAGAGCUGGUAGACGACUCAAUAAAUAACGUCAGAAAGGACGAUCCGACGCUUCUGUCUUCAGGGAGAGUGCAGCUGGUUGUGGGAGAUGGAAGAAUGGGAUAUCCUGAAGAAGCCCCUUAUGAUGCUAUUCAUGUAGGAGCCGCAGCCCCAGUUGUGCCCCAGGCACUGUUAGACCAGUUAAAGCCAGGUGGAAGAUUGAUAUUGCCAGUUGGUCCUGCAGGUGGAAACCAGAUGUUGGAGCAGUACGACAAGCUACAGGAUGGCAGUAUCAAAAUGAAACCUCUGAUGGGAGUGAUAUACGUGCCUUUAACAGAUAAGGAAAAGCAGUGGUCCAGUGGCUGGUACAGUGCUGCACCUGGCUGAGCGAAUGGUUUCUUUUGGAGCUGAUAAAGCUGCCUUAUGAAAUCAGCUGACCAGGGACGAACUGUAAAAGCAACAUCAGCUUGACCAGUAUAUAAUAUUACAGUGGAUUGCUCAUCUCAGUCCUCAGAGCUUUUUGAAAACCAACAACAUCACAGCUUGUUUUCGACUUUGUUACACUAUUAUUUUCAGCAUGAAAAUGUGUGGUUUCGUAGGGUUUCUAAUUCUUCAAAGAGGCACAGAAGCCAAAUUGGUAGAGGAGGGAUGCAAAGGAUAAGUCCGUGUAUUAUUACUUUAACACGCCUACGUUUUACUUUAAAAUAUUAAAAAAAGGGCUUCUGCAAAAUGGACAACUUAGUUUGUGAAUUGAUUUUGAGGAGUGGUUUUUCUUUUCUUAGACACUUAAUGCUGUUCCAAUAUGAAUUUAUCAGAUCGCUUUCGUGCAUCAGAUAACACCACCAUUCACAAGUUUGGAUUCUUGGUUUUUGGACGUCUCUUAGAUGCUACUAAGAAAAUAGAGAUGAGCUUCCUUUUUUAAAGCUUUUGAUGUGGUGUCAUAGAGUAGCAUGUUGUAGAUACAAUCAGCUGCUUCGUUACCUUACAACUAAGCGUUUGUAAAUAUUAAAACUUAGGAGGAUGGCCAGCGAUGUCUCUUAAAACACUCAGCUGUUCAGAUUGGACAUAAUUGACAUAGUUCUUCUUUCUCUCUUUAAAAAUUAUAGGAGACCCGUAGCUCAGUGUUGUUUUUCUCUUUCUGAUUUGCUGCUGAUAAUGUACAUGAAUUUACCCUGCUGUGUAAGCUGUGUCCUAGCUACUGAACAGUUUAUGCAGUGCUGCUUUGCCAAAUAAAGUUGAAAGUAAAGAG